rnacentral:rRNA from 1 species
GCUUACGGCCACACCACCCUGAGCGCGCCCGUCUCGUGAUCUCGGAAGCUAAGCAGGGUCGGCCUGGUUAGUACUUGGAUGGGAGACCGCCUGGGAAUACCAGGUGCCGUAAGCU